GAGUUUGAUCAUGGCUCACNCNUUUNCGCUGGCGGCAGGCCUAACACAUGCAAGUCGAGCGGAANCGAGUUAUCUGAACCUUCGGGGAACGAUAACGGGGUCGAGCGGCGGACGGGUGAGUAAUGCCUAGGAAAUUGCCCUGAUGUGGGGGAUAACCAUUGGAAACGAUGGCUAAUACCGCAUAAUGCCUACGGGCCAAAGAGGGGGACCUUCGGGCCUCUCGCGUCAGGAUAUGCCUAGGUGGGAUUAGCUAGUUGGUGAGGUAAUGGCUCACCAAGGCGACGAUCCCUAGCUGGUCUGAGAGGAUGAUCAGCCACACUGGAACUGAGACACGGUCCAGACUCCUACGGGAGGCAGCAGUGGGGAAUAUUGCACAAUGGGCGCAAGCCUGAUGCAGCCAUGCCGCGUGUGUGAAGAAGGCCUUCGGGUUGUAAAGCACUUUCAGUCGUGAGGAAGGUAGUGUAGUUAAUAGCUGCAUUAUUUGACGUUAGCGACAGAAGAAGCACCGGCUAACUCCGUGCCAGCAGCCGCGGUAAUACGGAGGGUGCGAGCGUUAAUCGGAAUUACUGGGCGUAAAGCGCAUGCAGGUGGUUUGUUAAGUCAGAUGUGAAAGCCCGGGGCUCAACCUCGGAAUUGCAUUUGAAACUGGCAGACUAGAGUACUGUAGAGGGGGGUAGAAUUUCAGGUGUAGCGGUGAAAUGCGUAGAGAUCUGAAGGAAUACCGGUGGCGAAGGCGGCCCCCUGGACAGAUACUGACACUCAGAUGCGAAAGCGUGGGGAGCAAACAGGAUUAGAUACCCUGGUAGUCCACGCCGUAAACGAUGUCUACUUGGAGGUUGUGGCCUUGAGCCGUGGCUUUCGGAGCUAACGCGUUAAGUAGACCGCCUGGGGGAGUACGGUCGCAAGAUUAAAACUCAAAUGAANUUGACGGGGGGCCCNCCACAANCCGGUGGANCAUGUGGUUUUAAUUU
rnacentral:rRNA from 1 species